UACGGAGGAUCCGAGCGUUAUCCGGAUUUAUUGGGUUUAAAGGGUGCGCAGGCGGGAGAUUAAGUCGGCGGUGAAAUUUUGCAGCUCAACUGUAAAAGUGCCUUCGAAACUGGUUUCCUUGAGUGUAGAUGAAGUAUGCGGAAUUUGUGGUGUAGCGGUGAAAUGCAUAGAUAUCGCGAGGAACUCCGAUUGCGAAGGCAGCUUACUAAGCUACUACUGACGCUCAGGCACGAAGGCGUGGGGAUCAAACAGGAUUAGAUACCCU
rnacentral:rRNA from 1 species